rnacentral:rRNA from 1 species
UCCUACGGGAGGCAGCAGUGAGGAAUAUUGGGCAAUGGAGGAGAGCCUGAUCCAGCCAUGCCGCGUGCAGGAAGACUGCCCUAUGGGUUGUAAACUGCUUUUAUACAGGAAGAAACUGCUCUACGUGUAGCAGCUUGACGGUACUGUAAGAAUAAGGACCGGCUAACUCCGUGCCAGCAUCCGCGGUAAU